CACACUGGACUGAGACACGGUCCAGACUCCUACGGGAGGCAGCAGUGGGGAAUAUUGCACAAUGGGCGCAAGCCUGAUGCAGCCAUGCCGCGUGUGUGAAGAAGGCCUUCGGGUUGUAAAGCACUUUCAGUCGUGAGGAAGGUAGUGUAGUUAAUAGCUGCAUUAUUUGACGUUAGCGACAGAAGAAGCACCGGCUAACUCCGUGCCAGCAGCCGCGGUAAUACGGAGGGUGCGAGCGUUAAUCGGAAUUACUGGGCGUAAAGCGCAUGCAGGUGGUUUGUUAAGUCAGAUGUGAAAGCCCGGGGCUCAACCUCGGAAUAGCAUUUGAAACUGGCAGACUAGAGUACUGUAGAGGGGGGUAGAAUUUCAGGUGUAGCGGUGAAAUGCGUAGAGAUCUGAAGGAAUACCGGUGGCGAAGGCGGCCCCCUGGACAGAUACUGACACUCAGAUGCGAAAGCGUGGGGAGCAAACAGGAUUAGAUACCCUGGUAGUCCACGCCGUAAACGAUGUCUACUUGGAGGUUGUGGCCUUGAGCCGUGGCUUUCGGAGCUAACGCGUUAAGUAGACCGCCUGGGGAGUACGGUCGCAAGAUUAAAACUCAAAUGAAUUGACGGGGGCCCGCACAAGCGGUGGAGCAUGUGGUUUAAUUCGAUGCAACGCGAAGAACCUUACCUACUCUUGACAUCCAGAGAACUUUCCAGAGAUGGAUUGGUGCCUUCGGGAACUCUGAGACAGGUGCUGCAUGGCUGUCGUCAGCUCGUGUUGUGAAAUGUUGGGUUAAGUCCCGCAACGAGCGCAACCCUUAUCCUUGUUUGCCAGCGAGUAAUGUCGGGAACUCCAGGGAGACUGCCGGUGAUAAACCGGAGGAAGGUGGGGACGACGUCAAGUCAUCAUGGCCCUUACGAGUAGGGCUACACACGUGCUACAAUGGCGCAUACAGAGGGCGGCCAACUUGCGAAAGUGAGCGAAUCCCAAAAAGUGCGUCGUAGUCCGGAUUGGAGUCUGCAACUCGACUCCAUGAAGUCGGAAUCGCUAGUAAUCGUGGAUCAGAAU
rnacentral:rRNA from 1 species